GCAGGGAGAUAGUGGGUAAUAUUGGGGUACAGAGGGCAGUCAGGCAGGGAGAUAGUGGGUAAUAUUGGGGUACAGAGGGAGUCAGGCAGGGAGAUAGUGGGUAAUAUUGGGGUACAGAGGGAGUCAGUCAGGGAGAUAGUGGGUAAUAUUGGGGUACAGAGGGCAGUCAGGCAGGGAGAUAGUGGGUAAUAUUGGGGUACAGAGGGAGUCAGUCAGGGAGAUAGUGGGUAAUAUUGGGGUACAGAGGGAGUCAGUCAGGGAGAUAGUGGGUAAUAUUGGGGUACAGAGGGAGUCAGUCAGGGAGAUAGUGGGUAAUAUUGGGGUACAGAGGGCAGUCAGGCAGGGAGAUAGUGGGUAAUAUUGGGGUACAGAGGGAGUCAGUCAGGGAGAUAGUGGGUAAUAUUGGGGUACAGAGGGCAGUCAGGCAGGGAGAUAGUGGGUAAUAUUGGGGUACAGAGGGAGUCA